rnacentral:snRNA from 1 species
CUAGCUACGGCGGUACAUAUUCUAAAAUUGGAACGAUAUAGAGAAGAUUAGCAUGGCCCUUGCGCAAGGAUGACACGCAAAAAAAAAAAAAAAAAAGGGCGGCG